UCUUAUGAAUGAGCAAAGUAAGUGGUUUCUUGAGAUGGAAUCUACUCCUGGUGAAGACGCCGUGAA
rnacentral:pre_miRNA from 1 species